rnacentral:rRNA from 1 species
CCUACGGGAGGCAGCAGUGAGGAAUAUUGGUCAAUGGACGAGAGUCUGAACCAGCCAAGUAGCGUGAAGGAUGACUGCCCUAUGGGUUGUAAACUUCUUUUAUAUGGGAAUAAAAUGUUCCACGUGUGGGAUUUUGUAUGUACCAUAUGAAUAAGGAUCGGCUAACUCCGUCCCAGCAGCCGCGGUAAUACGGAGGAUCCGAGCGUUAUCCGGAUUUAUUGGGUUUAAAGGGAGCGUAGGUGGAUUGUUAAGUCAGUUGUGAAAGUUUGCGGCUCAACCGUAAAAUUGCAGUUGAAACUGGCAGUCUUGAGUACAGUAGAGGUGGGCGGAAUUCGUGGUGUAGCGGUGAAAUGCUUAGAUAUCACGAAGAACUCCGAUUGCGAAGGCAGUUCACUGGACUGCAACUGACACUGAGGCUCGAAAGUGUGGGUAUCAAACAGGAUUAGAUACCCGAGUAGUC